CACCAAUAGGUGGGGCUCAGGACAUCCCUGUCUUGUGUAACCCCAUCUUGUCUAGGCUCGGUGCAUGUGCAGCUGAGUAAAGAACUAGCUGAGAUGCUCAGUUUUGAUGCUAGAGAUGGACCCCACACAGGACUGAAACAGCUCAUUUAGCUGCUGCUCUGAUUCCAGAAACUAAGCCGUCACCUUAUCGUUUCCUGGGCCCAAUACAAAAAGCAGCACCUAUAGACCUCAUAUUGAGGUCUGAUUUCCAGGGAGCUCAUGCACCUACUACCACUGCAAAUAAAGCCUGUGGUCCUGGGUUAGAUUAUGCAAAGUUCUUGUGCCAGCUUUAAAGAUAAGCAAAUACCAGGUAGGUGACUCUGAAUGGAGAAGGUACAUCAAUAUUUCCCUUCAAUUGUGGGAAGAAUACAGAACCUGCUUAGAUGGAGAUAUUCAGGUUGAUCCGCACCAAACGUGAAGAAAAGAAAAGCUGCCCCCCCCCCCCCCACGUCUCCCAGCUCUGGGUAGCAGACAGAGCUGAUCAUCUGUAACAAGAUCCUAGAAUGUAAAUUCCUGAACCAAAGGUUUCCAGCUUCUUCCAUUCUAGCACUCUGACGGACAGAGUGUGUUCUCAUGAAACCCACGGCUUUCCACAACAGGAGGCGUCUCCUGGAGUGAUCAGAGCCCCGUCCCCUGCAUCUGGCUGCGUCUCUGCUGUGCUUAACACCAUGCUGGGCUCAUCCAAGCCAUUCCAGUAAUGCUGUACGAAAGCACUUACUGUGUAGCUGAUACUGCGUUGUGUCGUGUGUUUUGCAACUGUAGGGCCAUACGAAAUCAAAUCAAGGGCCUGAAGUUCCCACCCGGGGCUAGAGA